UGUGAGCUCGAUGAGUAGGGCGGGACACGUGGUAUCCUGUCUGAAUAUGGGGGGACCAUCCUCCAAGGCUAAAUACUCCUGACUGACCGAUAGUGAACCAGUACCGUGAGGGAAAGGCGAAAAGAACCCCGGCGAGGGGAGUGAAAAAGAACCUGAAACCGUGUACGUACAAGCAGUGGGAGCACGCUUAGGCGUGUGACUGCGUACCUUUUGUAUAAUGGGUCAGCGACUUAUAUUCUGUAGCAAGGUUAACCGAAUAGGGGAGCCGAAGGGAAACCGAGUCUUAACUGGGCGUUAAGUUGCAGGGUAUAGACCCGAAACCCGGUGAUCUAGCCAUGGGCAGGUUGAAGGUUGGGUAACACUAACUGGAGGACCGAACCGACUAAUGUUGAAAAAUUAGCGGAUGACUUGUGGCUGGGGGUGAAAGGCCAAUCAAACCGGGAGAUAGCUGGUUCUCCCCGAAAGCUAUUUAGGUAGCGCCUCGUGAAUUCAUCUCCGGGGGUAGAGCACUGUUUCGGCAAGGGGGUCAUCCCGACUUACCAACCCGAUGCAAACUGCGAAUACCGGAGAAUGUUAUCACGGGAGACACACGGCGGGUGCUAACGUCCGUCGUGAAGAGGGAAACAACCCAGACCGCCAGCUAAGGUCCCAAAGUCAUGGUUAAGUGGGAAACGAUGUGGGAAGGCCCAGACAGCCAGGAUGUUGGCUUAGAAGCAGCCAUCAUUUAAAGAAAGCGUAAUAGCUCACUGGUCGAGUCGGCCUGCGCGGAAGAUGUAACGGGGCUAAACCAUGCACCGAAGCUGCGGCAGCGACGCUGAUGCGUUGUUGGGUAGGGGAGCGUUCUGUAAGCCUGCGAAGGUGUGCUGUGAGGCAUGCUGGAGGUAUCAGAAGUGCGAAUGCUGACAUAAGUAACGAUAAAGCGGGUGAAAAGCCCGCUCGCCGGAAGACCAAGGGUUCCUGUCCAACGUUAAUCGGGGCAGGGUGAGUCGACCCCUAAGGCGAGGCCGAAAGGCGUAGUCGAUGGGAAACAGGUUAAUAUUCCUGUACUUGGUGUUACUGCGAAGGGGGGACGGAGAAGGCUAUGUUGGCCGGGCGACGGUUGUCCCGGUUUAAGCGUGUAGGCUGGUUUUCCAGGCAAAUCCGGAAAAUCAAGGCUGAGGCGUGAUGACGAGGCACUACGGUGCUGAAGCAACAAAUGCCCUGCUUCCAGGAAAAGCCUCUAAGCAUCAGGUAACAUCAAAUCGUACCCCAAACCGACACAGGUGGUCAGGUAGAGAAUACCAAGGCGCUUGAGAGAACUCGGGUGAAGGAACUAGGCAAAAUGGUGCCGUAACUUCGGGAGAAGGCACGCUGAUAUGUAGGUGAAGUCCCUUGCGGAUGGAGCUGAAAUCAGUCGAAGAUACCAGCUGGCUGCAACUGUUUAUUAAAAACACAGCACUGUGCAAACACGAAAGUGGACGUAUACGGUGUGACGCCUGCCCGGUGCCGGAAGGUUAAUUGAUGGGGUCAGCGCAAGCGAAGCUCUUGAUCGAAGCCCCGGUAAACGGCGGCCGUAACUAUAACGGUCCUAAGGUAGCGAAAUUCCUUGUCGGGUAAGUUCCGACCUGCACGAAUGGCGUAAUGAUGGCCAGGCUGUCUCCACCCGAGACUCAGUGAAAUUGAACUCGCUGUGAAGAUGCAGUGUACCCGCGGCAAGACGGAAAGACCCCGUGAACCUUUACUAUAGCUUGACACUGAACAUUGAGCCUUGAUGUGUAGGAUAGGUGGGAGGCUUGGAAGUGUGGACGCCAGUCUGCAUGGAGCCGACCUUGAAAUACCACCCUUUAAUGUUUGAUGUUCUAACGUUGACCCGUAAUCCGGGUUGCGGACAGUGUCUGGUGGGUAGUUUGACUGGGGCGGUCUCCUCCUAAAGAGUAACGGAGGAGCACGAAGGUUGGCUAAUCCUGGUCGGACAUCAGGAGGUUAGUGCAAUGGCAUAAGCCAGCUUGACUGCGAGCGUGACGGCGCGAGCAGGUGCGAAAGCAGGUCAUAGUGAUCCGGUGGUUCUGAAUGGAAGGGCCAUCGCUCAACGGAUAAAAGGUACUCCGGGGAUAACAGGCUGAUACCGCCCAAGAGUUCAUAUCGACGGCGGUGUUUGGCACCUCGAUGUCGGCUCAUCACAUCCUGGGGCUGAAGUAGGUCCCAAGGGUAUGGCUGUUCGCCAUUUAAAGUGGUACGCGAGCUGGGUUUAGAACGUCGUGAGACAGUUCGGUCCCUAUCUGCCGUGGGCGCUGGAGAACUGAGGGGGGCUGCUCCUAGUACGAGAGGACCGGAGUGGACGCAUCACUGGUGUUCGGGUUGUCAUGCCAAUGGCACUGCCCGGUAGCUAAAUGCGGAAGAGAUAAGUGCUGAAAGCAUCUAAGCACGAAACUUGCCCCGAGAUGAGUUCUCCCUGACUCCUUGA
rnacentral:rRNA from 1 species